AAAAGUUUAUGAAUUUGAAUCCAAUUGAGAAUUGGAUUCAAAGAAGGAAAAUUUUUGGAUUUUCUCACGUUAAAACAAAGAAGGAAAAUUUGGAAUUUUCAUACAAAAUUUUUCCAUAAGUUUAUUUUUGGAAUAAACUUUUACCUUAGGAAAAUUAUUACCUCAACCAAAUAGGAAAACGUUUUGUAGGUGGUGCUAUAUAAAGGGUGAUGGAGAAAAUUAGGAAAAUUAUUACCUCAACCAAAUAGGAAAAUGGUUUGUGGGUGAUGCUAUAUAAAAGGUGAUGGAGAAAAUUUAAAAAGUUCUUUUUUUCCGAUUUUAAUCUUUUUCUUGAGAAGAAAACUCUACUUUGUGAAAGUGAGAGUGCGAGAAAAAAAAUACAAUUGCAAGAAAAGUGUUUCUUGUUCUUCUAAUUUGAGUUGAGAUUUU
rnacentral:lncRNA from 1 species